rnacentral:rRNA from 1 species
GUCCACGCCGUAAACGUUGGGCGCUAGGUGUGGGGAACCUUCCACGUUCUCCGUGCCGCAGCUAACGCAUUAAGCGCCCCGCCUGGGGAGUACGGCCGCAAGGCUAAAACUCAAAGGAAUUGACGGGGCCCGCACAAGCGGCGGAGCAUGUGGCUUAAUUCGACGCAACGCGAAGAACCUUACCAAGGCUUGACAUAUACCGAAAACUACGUAGAGAUACGGGGUCCGCAAGGGCGGUAUACAGGUGGUGCAUGGUUGUCGU